AUGGUAAAACGAGGGCUUAGCUGUCUCCUUUUUCAUGUCAAUGAAAUUGAUAUUCUCGUGCAAAAGCGGGAAUUUCCCCAUAAGACGAGAAGACCCUGUGAAGCUUCAGAUGUUAAGAUAGACUUAGUUAAUAAGCCCUGAUGAAGGAUUAAGCUUUAAACCCCUGUCUUAGAGUCUUCGGUUGGGGCGACCACGGGGAGUUGCAUAACCCCCGCGUGGAUUGGGUGCAAAGUGUUUUGUUCCUAAAGCCAAGAGCUUCCGCUCUAACAAACAGAAUUUCUGACUUUUGAGAUCCGGCAAUGCCGAUCAACGAACCAAGUUACUCCAGGGAUAACAGCGUCAUCCUCUUUCAGAGCCCUUAUCGACAAGGGGGUUUACGACCUCGAUGUUGGAUCAGGACAUCCUAAUGGUGCAGCUGCUAUUAAGGGUUCGUUUGUUCAACGAUUAAUAGUCCUACGUGAUCU
rnacentral:rRNA from 1 species